rnacentral:rRNA from 1 species
CUGGUGACUCCCGCCUGAAUAUAUAGGGCGGGUAGAGGGAACGGGGGGAAGUGAAACAUCUCAGUACCCCCAGGAAGAGAAAACAACAGUGAUUCCGUCAGUAGUGGCGAGCGAAAUCGGAAGAGGCUAAACCGGGCAUGUGUGAUAGCUAUCAGGCGUUGCAUGUCCGGGGUUGUGGGACUUCUCACUCCGAACUGAUAUUCGGGGAGCAUUAGAACGUGGUAUAGACGAAUGGGAUUGAAAGCCCAGCCAAAGACGGUGCCAGCCCGGUAGUCGAAAUGCUGCAAUCGUGCGAGGAGUAUCCCAAGUAGCACGGGGCCCGAGAAAUCCCGUGUGAAUCUGUCAGGACCACCUGAUAAGCCUAAAUACUCCCAGAUGACCGAUAGCGGACAAGUACCGUGAGGGAAAGGUGAAAAGUACCCCGGGAGGGGAGUGAAAUAGUACCUGAAACCGUUUGCUUACAAACCGUUGGAGCACCCUUGUAGGUGUGACAGCGUGCCUUUUGAAGAAUGAGCCUGCGAGUUAGCGAUAUGUGGCGAGGUUAACCCGUGUGGGGUAGCCGUAGCGAAAGCGAGUCUGAAUAGGGCGAUUCAGUCGCAUGUCCUAGACCCGAAGCGAAGUGAUCUAUCCAUGGCCAGGUUGAAGCGACGGUAAGACGUCGUGGAGGACCGAACCCACUUCAGUUGAAAAUGGAGGGGAUGAGCUGUGGAUAGGGGUGAAAGGCCAAUCAAACUUCGUGAUAGCUGGUUCUCUCCGAAAUGCAUUUAGGUGCAGCGUUGCGUGUUUCUUGCCGGAGGUAGAGCUACUGGAUGGCCGAUGGGGCCCAAAAGCUUACUGACGUCAGCCAAACUCCGAAUGCCGGUAAGUGAGAGCGCAGCAGUGAGACGGUGGGGGAUAAGCUUCAUCGUCGAGAGGGAAACAACCCAGACCACCAACUAAGGUCCCAAAGCGCGUGCUAAGUGGGAAAGGAUGUG